CUGUGAAGCCGGCGCGUGAGCGAUCCGGUGGAGAGAUCACUAGCGAGAAUGAUGACAUGAGUAGCGACAAAGAGUGUGAGAGACACUCUCGCCGAAAGUCCAAGGGUUCCUGCUUAAAGCUAAUCUGAGCAGGGUAAGCCGGCCCCUAAGGCGAGGCAGAAAUGCGUAGCCGAUGGGAACCACGUUAAUAUUCGUGGGCCAGGAGGAUGUGACGGAUCAAGAGGGUAGUUCAUUCUUAUCGGAUUGAAUGGGCUGCUUAUUGGUCCCUGGAAAUAGCCCUCCAUCAGACCGUACCCUAAACCGACACAGGUGGACUGGUAGAGAAUACCAAGGCGCUUGAGAGAACGAUGUUGAAGGAACUCGGCAAAAUACCUCCGUAAGUUCGCGAGAAGGAGGCCCGGUUCCUAGGCAACUAGGGGCUGGGGGCACAAACCAGGGGGUGGCGACUGUUUACUAAAAACACAGGGCUCUGCGAAGUCGCAAGACGACGUAUAGGGUCUGACGCCUGCCCGGUGCCUGAAGGUUAAAAGGAGAGGUGAGAGCCUUGAAUUGAAGCCCAGGUAAACGGCGGCCGUAACUAUAACGGUCCUAAGGUAGCGAAAUUCCUUGUCGGGUAAGUUCCGACCUGCACGAAUGGCGUAACGACUUCCCCGCUGUCUCCAACAUCGACUCAGCGAAAUUGAAUUGCCUGUCAAGAUGCAGGCUUCCCGCGGUUAGACGGAAAGACCCCGUGCACCUUUACUACAGCUUCGCACUGGCAUCAGGACUGCAAUGUGCAGGAUAGGUGGUGGGCUUUGAAGCGCGAACGCCAGUUUGCGUGGAGCCUCCCUUGAGAUACCACCCUUUGCAUUCUUGAUGUCUAACCGCGGUCCGUUAUCCGGAUCCGGGACCCUGCGUGGCGGGUAGUUUGACUGGGGCGGUCGCCUCCUAAAGAGUAACGGAGGCGCGCGAUGGUUGGCUCAGACCGGUCGGAAAUCGGUCGUUGAGUGCAAUGGCAGAAGCCAGCCUGACUGCAAGUCUGACAAGACGAGCAGAGACGAAAGUCGGUCAUAGUGAUCCGGUGGUCCCGAGUGGAAGGGCCAUCGCUCAACGGAUAAAAGGUACGCCGGGGAUAACAGGCUGAUACUGCCCAAGAGUCCAUAUCGACGGCAGUGUUUGGCACCUCGAUGUCGGCUCAUCUCAUCCUGGGGCUGGAGCAGGUCCCAAGGGUACGGCUGUUCGCCGUUUAAAGAGGUACGUGAGCUGGGUUUAGAACGUCGUGAGACAGUUCGGUCCCUAUCUGCCGUGGGUGUAGGAUACUUGAGAGGAGUUGCCCCUAGUACGAGAGGACCGGGGUGAACGAUCCACUGGUGGACCUGUUGUUGCGCCAGCAGCAGUGCAGGGUAGCUAUGAUCGGACAGGAUAACCGCUGAAGGCAUCUAAGCGGGAAGCCCCCCUCAAAACAAGGUAUCCCUGAGGACCGUGGUAGACCACCACGUCGAUAGGCCGGAGAUGUAAGUGCAGUAAUGCAUUCAGUUGACCGGUACUAAUGGUCCGAUAGGCUUGAUUUGAUCC
rnacentral:rRNA from 1 species